ensembl:lncRNA
UCUGGAGAGAGUUUGCUGCACUGAAGUAAAGGGGCUGAAUAAUUUUGCACGCCCAAUUUUUCAGUUUUUGAUUUGUUAAAAAAGUUUGAAAUAUCCAAUAAAUGUCGUUCCACUUCAUGAUUUUGUCGCACUUGUUGUUGAUUCUUCACAAAAAAAUACAGUUUUUUAUCUUUAUGUUUGAAGCCUGAAAUGUGGCAAAAGGUCGCAAAGUUCAAGGGGGCCGAAUACUUUCGCAAGGCACUGUAGUUCACUACUUUGGCCCUGGUCAAAUGUAGUACACUAUAGAGGGAAUAGGGAGCCAUUUCGGACUCACCCCCAGCCUUCCUUAUAUCGGACAUCUUUUUGUUGGCUCUCCCAGGUCGUACAGUGGCCUCCUCGGGGGGCUCAGCUCCCUUCAGGGCCUUCCCUAAGUCUCUGAGUGUGGACUUUGGAGGGCUCAGCCAACAGCACAGUCGCAGUGCCCUCAGCGUCGCCCCCCCAGCCCCCAGCCCCAACACACACACAGACCACCAGGACCGCUACGCUGCCCUGUCCCAACUGAACAGUGUCUUCCCUGACACAUCACCCAGACCUGCAACUGGACCAGGAUUUACAGCACCCCCCGGUGGACUACGCCAGUAUAACACGCUCUUUGGGAAGCGCCUGUCCUCCAGUUCUACUCCUGCCAGCUCUCCAGGCGUGGAUGCCGUGACGGGAUCCCAAACAUUUGCAACUUUCCCCAACCCAUUCAGCUCCUGUUCCAGCUCUCAGCAGCAGCAGCAGCAGCCUGCCCUCUCUCCCAGUAACCCCUUCCACAGCUCCACCUCAGGAGGUUUUACCUCUUUCCCUGCGCCGGACUCUCAGCCCAAAGUUCCUUGUCCAAUGUCAGUGAACCCAUUCACUGUGAGUACCACACUACAGCAACACAACCACAAUGAGCAUUGAGUGCACUUCAAUAGGUUGAGCGGUGUUUGCUGGGGAUUUGGAUGGGAGCUGCUUAAUUAUCAUGCUGAAG